UACGUAGGGUCCAAGCGUUGUCCGGAAUUAUUGGGCGUAAAGAGCUCGUAGGCGGCUGCUCAAGUCGAAUGUGAAAACUCGAGGCUCAACCUCGAGCCUGCAUUCGAUACUGGGCGGCUAGAGUCUGGUAGGGGGAUCUGGAAUUCCUGGUGUAGCGGUGGAAUGCGCAGAUAUCAGGAGGAACACCGGUGGCGAAGGCGGGAUCCUGGGCCAGUACUGACGCUGAUGAGCGAAAGCUAGGGGAGCAAACGGG
rnacentral:rRNA from 1 species